GUGUAGCUCCAAUUGGCAGAGCAGCGGAUUCCAAAUCCGCGUGUUGGGAGUUCGAAUCUCUCCACCCCUGCCA
rnacentral:tRNA from 5 species